UAGCAAUGUAUAGUAUCGUUAUUUUUCAUGUUAUUUAAGAGAUAUUCAAAAACAUAUACGGGACUAAGUUAUUAAAAUAUACGACUGUGUGUUUGUAGAUGUUUAAAAACAACCAAAUUCUUUUGCUUCUUCAUAUACCAAUAUAUGGACCAAAAAAUAAACGGUUUGAAACCUUCGAUGUUAAAACAAAGCAGUCAAGACAUAGACCACAUUUUUGACAGAAGAACUAUUAAAUUAAAAAUUGUCGUUACAAUUUUUUUAAUUCAUUUGAUUAAAAUUAUUCAGAAUUCUAUGUAAUUAUUCGUAGUUAUAUUAAAUUGUGAUAAUAAUAGGAAACUGAGAAUUGUAGAAAAUUUUCUCUUUUUUUUUUAAAUUUUCUCGAUCUACCAUCGAGUUUACUUUUUCUCUGGUCAUAAAAACCUCUCUCAUACACGAGCCGGGACCAACAUGUGACUUGUGACGUCAAAGGUCCCAGGACAAAGGUCUUAGUUUUAUUUAAGAAACAAACAACUCUUAGCCGAUACAACUAGAACACAUAGCCCUUCGUCUCCGGGGGGAACAUACGUAUUCUUUUAGGCACAAAGUGAACACGUUAGCGACAAUUACAAUAAAAAAAAACAAUAAAUAUUAAUAAAAAUAAUCAGUGUGAAAUUAGUGAAUUUUUAAUUGUGCAAGUUUUUUAGUAAUUCAUUUUAUAAACAAUUUUAGUGAAGUAUAAUAAACUCAUUAAAUAAAUAACUAGUGAUACAGAUCCAACAAAGAAGCAUUAUAAAUUUGGUCUUAUAAAAGAAAGAAUUGGAGGAGAAUGAGCUGUUUGCAGUGACGCCAGUAACAAAUCCGAUAUUAAUUAUCCGAGGAAAAGAAUUACACGAUGAUAACAAACGAUACAAUGUAGUACUCGAAAAACAAUGUCUGAUUGGAGUAGAUUCAUUCCUUGAAGGAAUUUUAGUUACAUUUUUAUCGUACUAUGUCUUUGGAUUUGCUUAUCCAAACAAAUUAGAAAAGACAAUGGAAGCUAUUCAAAAAUUGUUUCUUAAAAUUUCUCCACCAGGGAAGGGUAAUAAGCGAGAUGGAAAAAAACGAAAAGCUAUACUGUCAUUUAUCCGAAAGUAGCUUCAUUUAUGAAAGAAAUAAAUUAUUAUAUAAAUAAUUAAUAAAAAUUAAAACCUUUUAUAUAAAAUAUAAUUCGAAAAUUUAAAAAAAAAAUCAAAUGUAU